CAAAUCAGGUCAACUUGUCUUUUGUGAUUUACCUUUUUUUUUUUUUUUUUUUUUUUUCGCUUCCCAUUCCUCCAAGUUUCCUGAUAAGAGUCUUUUGUCGACAAACCCAUUUCAAGAUGGAUGGUCCG
rnacentral:ribozyme from 14 species